rnacentral:rRNA from 1 species
UAGAGUUUGAUCCUGGCUCAGAACGAACGCUGGCGGCAGGCUUAACACAUGCAAGUCGAGCGAAGACUUCGGUCUUAGCGGCGGACGGGUGAGUAACGCGUGGGAACGUACCCUUUACUGCGGAAUAGCCACUGGAAACGGUGAGUAAUACCGCAUACGCCCUUUGGGGGAAAGAUUUAUCGGUAAAGGAUCGGCCCGCGUUAGAUUAGGUAGUUGGUGGGGUAAUGGCCUACCAAGCCUACGAUCUAUAGCUGGUUUGAGAGGAUGAUCAGCCACACUGGGACUGAGACACGGCCCAGACUCCUACGGGAGGCAGCAGUGGGGAAUCUUGGACAAUGGGGGCAACCCUGAUCCAGCCAUGCCGCGUGAGUGAAGAAGGCCUUAGGGUCGUAAAGCUCUUUCGCCUGUGAUGAUAAUGACAGUAGCAGGUAAAGAAACCCCGGCUAACUCCGUGCCAGCAGCCGCGGUAAUACGGAGGGGGUUAGCGUUGUUCGGAAUUACUGGGCGUAAAGCGCGCGUAGGCGGACUGGAAAGUUGGGGGUGAAAUCCCAGGGCUCAACCCUGGAACUGCCUCCAAAACUAUCAGUCUAGAGUUCGAGAGAGGUGAGUGGAAUUCCGAGUGUAGAGGUGAAAUUCGUAGAUAUUCGGA